rnacentral:rRNA from 1 species
GACGAACGCUGGCGGCGUGCUUAACACAUGCAAGUCGAACGAAGUGGCGAACGGGUGAGUGACGCGUAAUAAACCUGCCCUUCAGAGGGGGACAACAGUUGGAAACGACUGCUAAUACCGCAUACUGAAGGAGGGUGUGGCGUUGGAUUAGCUAGUUGGCGGGGUAACGGCUCACAAAGGCGAUGAUCAGUAGCCGUUCGGAGCGGAUGAACGUCCACAGUGCGACUUCGCACCGGCCCAGACUCCUACGGGAGGCAGCAGUGGGGAAUCUUCCGCAAUGGACGAGAGUCUGACGGAGCAACGCCGCGUGAGUGAUGACGGCCUUCGGUUUGUAAAGCUCUGUUAAUCGGGACGCGGUACCGGAAUAGAAGGCGACGGCUAACUACGUGCCAGCCGCCGCGGUAAUAC